GGGUCCCAGGGGGGUCCCCAGGCCGGGGGUCCGCUCUCACCGCGCAGCAGAGCCCUCACGAAGCGCCCGGCUCCCGGCACCGCCAGCCACCAACUCCCGGCAUCGCGCACGGUCAGGAGCCCCGCGGCCACCAGAGCCCUGCUGGGGCCACCAGAACCCGGCUGGGGCCACCAGAGCCCUGCCGGGGCCACCAAAACCCGGCUGUGGCCACCAAAACCCGGCUGUGGCCACCAAAACCCGGCUGUGGCCACCAAAACCCGGCUGGGGCCACCAAAACCCGGCUGGGGCCACCAAAACCCUGCUGUGGCCACCAAAACCCAGCCAUGGCCACCAGAACCCGGCUGUGGCCACCAGAACCCGGCUGGGGCCACCAAAACCCGGCUGUGGCCACCAGAGCCCUGCUGGGGCCACCAAAACCCUGCUGGGGCCACCAAAACACGGCUGUGGCCACCAAAGCCUGGCUGUGGCCAUCAGAACCUGGCUGUGGCUACCAGAACCCGGCUGUGGCCACCAGAACCCGGCUGUGGCCACCAGAACCCCCCAGAGCCACCCUGGGGGUCCCAAACCCCACCCUGGGCUGUCCCCAGGUCCCCCCAGGUGUCCCCAUGACCCCCAGGUGUCCCCAGGUGUGUUCCAGGUGUGUUUUUGGUGUCCCCAGGUGUCCCCAGGUGAGGUUUUGGUGUCCCCAGGUGUCCCCAGGUGAGGUUUGGGGUGUCCCAGGUGUGUUUUUGGUGUCCCCAGGUGUCCCCAGGUGUGUCCCAGGUGUGUUUUUGGUGUCCCCAGGUGUCCCCAGGCGUCCCUUACGUCACAUCCCUGUCCCCAGCUGUCCCCAGAUGUGUCUCAGGUGUGUCCCAGGUGUCCCCAAGUCCCCCAGGUGUCCCCAGGUGUUCCCAGGUGUGUUUCAGGUGUCCCCAGCUGUCCCCAGGUGUCCCCAGGUGUCCUUAGGUGUGUCCCCAGGUGUGUUUCAGGUGUCCCCAGGUGUCCCCAGGUGUCCCCAGGUGUCCCCAGGUGUCCCAGGUGUGUCCCCAGGUGUCCCUUACGUCACAUCCCUGUCCCCAGGUGUGUCCCAGCUGUCCCCAGGUGUGUUUUUGGUGUCCCCAGGUGUCCCCAGGUGUCCCCAGGUGUCCCCAGGUGUCCCAGGUGUGUCCCAGGUGUCCCCAGGUGUGUCCCCAGGUGUCCCAGGUGUCCCCAGGUCCCCGCAGGUGUCCCCAGGUGUCCCCAGGUGUCCCCAGCUGUCCCCAGGUGUCCCCAGGGGUCCCCAG
rnacentral:lncRNA from 1 species